rnacentral:rRNA from 1 species
UGAGUAACCUGCCCUUAACUCUGGGAUAAGCCUGGGAAACUGGGUCUAAUACCGGAUAUGACUCCUCAUCGCAUGGUGGGGGGUGGAAAGCUUUAUUGUGGUUUUGGAUGGACUCGCGGCCUAUCAGCUUAUUGGUGAGGUAAUGGCUCACCAAGGCGACGACGGGUAGCCGGCCUGAGAGGGUGACCGGCCACACUGGGACUGAGACACGGCCCAGACUCCUACGGGAGGCAG